GACGAACGCUGGCGGCGUGCCUAAUACAUGCAAGUCGAACGCUUCACUUCGGUGAAGAGUGGCGAACGGGUGAGUAAUACAUAAGUAACCUGGCAUCUACAGGGGGAUAACUGAUGGAAACGUCAGCUAAGACCGCAUAGGUGUAGAGAUCGCAGGACCUCUAUAUGACAGGUGCUACGGGACUGGUAGAUGAUGGACUUAUGGCGCAUUAGCUUGUUGGUAGGGUAACGGCCUACCAAGGCGACAAUGCGUAGCCGACCUGAGAGGGUGACCGGCCAAGCUGGGACUGAGACACGGCCCAGACUCCUACGGGAGGCAGCAGUAGGGAAUUUUCGGCAAUGGGGGAAACCCUGACCGAGCAACGCCGCGUGAAGGAAGAAGUAAUUCGUUAUGUAAACUUCUGUCAUAGAGGAAGAACGGUGGAUAUAGGGAAUGAUAUCCAAGUGACGGUACUCUAUAAGAAAGCCACGGCUAACUACGUGCCAGCCGCCGCCGUAA
rnacentral:rRNA from 1 species